AAAAGCUGAUUUUGUAUAUUUGAUUUUGUAUGAAGAAAUGAAAGAACUAUCAUCAACAAGAUAUGAAAAUAUAUAUCAAAACAAAAAUAUUGAUACGGAAAUUAAUAACGAAAUAGAAAUAGAUAAACUAAAAGAGAAAGAAAAAAAGAGUCUAUUAGAUUUGAUUACCUUUAAUGAUGAAAUAAUAUUUUACUCAGAAGAAUAUUAUAAGAAAAUGCAUUUACUAUUUGACAUAUGUUAUAUCUCAAUAUUAAGAAGCUACCAAUCAUUAGGUAUUAAGAAAGAAAAAGUACUUCUUCGAUUAAUGUAUGAAAAUGUAAUAAAUCAAUGGAUGAUUUUAAAUUAUACAAGAGAAAUAAUGCAAUAUGAUUUACAAUUAAAUAAUGAUAGUAUAUUAUUUUAUGUGGCACUAAACAAAAUGAAGGAUGGUGUUAAUUAUAUAAUGAGCGAAGAAAAUAUUAAAGUUAUUCAAUCAGAUCUAACACAAAUUUUAGACAAUUUUGUAAAUAAUUUAAAUUCAUAUAAAAUAGGUAACGGUAACUCUGCCUUCUUUAUUAGUAAGCAUGCCCAGGUUAAGUUACCUUUAAUUAAAGUGAUAGGAUAUAUGACUCUAACUGAAAAUAAAUUAGUUGAUUAUAAACAGUAUAUAAAAAUGGAUAAACAAAAUAGUGUCGGUACUAACAUUGCCAAAGUAUCCAAUGAUAGUAUACCUAACAACACAUCUAAAAACGACAUGAAAAAAAUAGACAAUGAUGUCAUUAAAAAAGAAAUUAAUUCAUUUAAUGAAUAUUUAAAAAGAAACGAAAAUAAUAAUAAAAUAAUUGUUCAAGUUUUAUUAAUUUCUACAAAAGAUAAUAUACCUAAAGAAAAUGAUGAAAAUUAUAGUGUUAGUUUUAGUAUUGAGCAUGUAUACAAUAUUUUAAUUGAUUAUUUUAUAUAUAAUGAAAAAAGUAAGGCUUUAUUAUAUGAUGGUACAUUUUAUAUUAUAUCAGAAUAUAUUUUUGGUAAAGGUAAAGAAAAGGAGUUGACAGAAGAAGAAGAAAAAAAAUAUGAAGAUAUAUCAGUAAAUAUAUUUUUAAAAAUAAUAGGUUCUGUAAAUUAUAAUUUAAAGCAAAUACAACGGUUUAUUAAGUUGUACUCUAAAACUAUUAUUGCUUUUUAUAAUUUACAUGUCUAUGGUGCAUGUUUAAAAACAAAGGGUACCAACAAUUUGAAUUUUGUUGCUGCGUUUGGUCAAGGUGUUGACAGUAAUUUAGUUAAUAAUGUUUUAAAAGACAUACAAUCCGAUGAAAUAAUUGCACAUAUUAAAGUAUAUUCAAAAGCGAUUAAUAAUAAGAAGCAUAAAUUAAAAAGUAUAGCUAUUAAAGAUAUAAUAGAGGAGUUAGAUAAGUCACCUCAUUUCAGUGUAAUAUAUUUUUUAGAAGACUCUUCAAAAGAAAUAUACGAAUAUAACUGUGUGGAAUGUAGAUAUUAUAAGUAUCAUUUUGUUACUCUUUUUAUUGCAGCUUUUGUUCCAUCUUUUAUAAUAUUUUUUUUAUUUUAUAUGAUUUUUUAUGGUGGACUAAAAAAGAUUAAUAAUUAUAAAUACAGAUGCAAUAACAAACUGUACCAAGCAUACCCCCGCAUAUUUUUUGUUCGUACUUUAUCUAAUCGAUAUGUAAGGUGGAACAAAAAAAAUGGUAAAAAAUUAAUUAUUAAAAAAAAAGCGUAUAAAAAAAAAAUAAAAGAAAGAGAAGAAAAAAUAAAAGAAAUAAAAAAAAUGAAACACUUAAAAAUAAAAAAGAGGAUUAUGAAAAAUAAAAAAAUGUUAAGCGAAGAUAUUAAAAGUAAAUAUCUUUCAAUGUAAAAUAUGAAAAAGAAAUGAAUAAUUAAAAAAAAAAAAUCUUUAGAAAAAUAAAGAAAAAUAAUUGGAAUUAAAAGUAUUUCA
ensembl:lncRNA